UACGUAGGGAGCAAGCGUUGUUCGGAGUUACUGGGCGUAAAGAGUGCGUAGGCGGUGUCGAAAAGUUUGGCGUGAAAUCUCCCGCUUAACUGGGAGGGUGCGCCGAAAACUGCGGUGCUGGAGUGUGGGAAAAGGCAAGCGGAAUUCCUGGUGUAGCGGUGAAAUGCGUAGAUAUCAGGAGGAACACCGGCGGUGUAGACGGCUUGCGUAGACCAUAACUGACGCUGAGGCACGAAAGCGUGGGUAGCAAACAGG
rnacentral:rRNA from 1 species